CGCAUUGUUUUGCAAAUAUUUUGAAUGUCCUCGGUUUUUGAGCACUGCAGCGGGAUGAAUAAAUAGAUAUUUGGGGAUUAUGCUCGAUCAACUCGCAGUUUCAAAGCAGUGCUCCUGUUUUUUCAAUUUCAUGACCUGGCAAUUUUAUUCUGUCAUAAUAGGGUAUCAUGCCCUUCGUGUAUCUUAUUAUUAUAGUUGAUUGUGUCGUGCUGCGUGAAAUUGUACUGUUUGUUUGUGAACUAUUACAAAGAUGUUUCUGUCGCAAGAGAACCUGGCUGAAGAAAUCCGGCAACAAGCCGCUUCUAUAGAUGCCUAAUGCGAUAAAAAUUCCGCUAAGUGAAAGUUCUGGACGCGGAGUUUGUAAAUACCACGCUGCAUAUUUCCACAUCCACGACGAAAUAGCUGUAGGACCCUGUUCAAUAAGGUAUACGUUUUAGAUUAUUUCGUAAGUCAUUAAUCAAAUAGUCAAAACAUUGAACAUUCACAAUAAAAGGUCUAGAGCAUUGCAAGAUGUAUGUUUCAAGUAUUCAAAGUUCUACCUUCAUGGGAAGCUAUGUAGUGUCUGUCAGUAUCUAAUUAAAAUAAUAUACCAUUUGAUAGAAUGUAUUUUUGUAUUAUACAGAAGAUAUUAAUUUAAUAAUAUAUGUAUAUAAAUGUUAUGGGACAAUCUUACCCAAAUUGACAAAGCCCCACAAUAAGCUCAAGAAGGCUUAUGUUGUGAUAUAUAAUAAAUACACACAUGGAAAACACACACCAAAUGACUCAGGAACAGAUAUCUGUGCUCAUCACAUAAAUAAAUACAUAAUGCCGAGAUUCAAACUGAGUUGUUCGCAAAGUAGUGUACUUCUACGUUAUUUUUCCAUUUAAACUUUUAUGGCAGGCAGAUUAUCAACAUGAAGUGGGCCGGGACCAAAUGGAUGCCUGUUUCUCAGCAAGCGGUGUCCAACUGCUAAAUUACCCCGGUCUUAUCAGUAUGGGCUAUCAUUAAAGCCGGGGGUUUUCGAUGCACACAUGUGACCCUUCAUGGGCCAUAGGAAUAUGAAGACCGCUUCUUGUAUAUCUUUUCCAUCACGGAACAAUGGUGUUCCGGACCUUUGGUAGGCGUGCGCGGAGCCGUAGGCAACACAUACGGGAUCAUAUCAAUUACGUGGACAAGUCGUAUGGUGGGACAACCUACGACACCUUUAUAUGGAGCAACAGCGUUAGUCGAGAUUACUUCGAGCAGCUGGCAUGUGUGGCACCAGCGAAAUAGUGUACAUUAGAUAUGGGAACAAGUCAACUACAUCAUUAACAUGGACGCGUCGUACGGCAGGGCAACCCACGACGCCUUCAUAUGUAGCAUUAGCAUUAGUCAAGACUACUUCGAGCAGCGGGCAUGUGGUACCAGCGAAAUAGCGCACAUUAGGUAGAAGACUCCGGGUAUCCACUGCGGGAACACGGGACACCUUAUGAUUUCUGCAACCGGCGCCGCAGAAGAAUCCCCGAGGCUAUAACGCCAUACAAAAUAAGGCGCGCUCCACUAUAGAGCUAACAUUUGGGAUAUUAAAAGUUACACCACCACCAUGGCCACUACUGUCUGAUCUGUGAUCCGUGCUGUGCCUACACGCGAAGACCGUACUCCCGACGACGGCGAUGAAAAUAACACUGCCGGCUUUUCAAGGAGCUACAUUACCAGCUGAUAAUGCAACUAUUACCCAAUGCCCCGUACCUACGUAGUAUAGAAGAAGACUAAGACUUAUCUACUAUAUAAGCAGAGGCUAGCAAACUAGUCUUAUUUCCUAU